AAAUUGACCUUCCCGUGAAGAGGCGGGAAUACAUUAAUAAGACGAGAAGACCCUAUGGAGCUUUAACUACUUGACCCAAAGAAAUAAAUUUCAUCGCUAAGGAAACAACAACACUCUUCAUGGGCCAACAGCUUUGGUUGGGGUGACCUCGGAGAACAAGAAAUCCUCCGAGCGAUUUUAAAGACUAGACCUACAAGUCGAAUCACACAAUCGUUUAUUGAUCCAAAAAAUUGAUCAACGGAACAAGUUACCCUAGGGAUAACAGCGCAAUCCUAUUCAAGAGUCCAUAUCGACAAUAGGGUUUACGACCUCGAUGUUGGAUCAGGACAUCCCGAUGGUGCAACCGCUAUCAAAGGUUCGUUUGUUCAACGAUUAAAGUCCUACGUGAUCUG
rnacentral:rRNA from 1 species